rnacentral:lncRNA from 1 species
UGACAUAAAAGAGCUCUUCACUAUGAGCAGACAAACAAGAGCCAAACCUAUGCCUCUUAGUGAUGAUAUUGGGCCUUAUGUUGUUCCUUUUCAACAUCAAACUGUCAACCAGUAUGGUAUGUUUUUUUGUUUAAUCUGCAAUUUAUGAUAAUUCUUUUUUAUUUAUGUAUGGAAUUUAUUGGGAGGAAAUGCAGGAAAGAAUUCAUUUACGUGGUUUGGUCCAAGACCAAGGGUGAACAUUACGGACCCUGAAAAAAUAAAAGAAAUACUUAACAAAUUUAAUGACUUCCAGAAGGUACGUACCAAUCCACUUGUUCAUUUGCUUGUAAGCGGCCUUGUUAACCUCGAAGGAGACCGAUGGAGCAAGCAUAGAAAAAUCAUAAACCCUGCAUUUCAUCAAGAUAAGUUGAAGGUAUAGAAUAGUGAUGGGUACUCAGACUUUAAAGAAAACAUCAUACUUAAACCUAUGCUUUUCUGACUUAGAAAAUAAUUGGAUGCAGAAUAUGUUGCCAGCAUUUUAUCAAAGUUGUAGUGACAUGUCAAGCAAAUGGGAGAAGAUGGUGUGUACAGAAGGAUACUGUGAGUUAGAUGUGUGGCCUUAUCUCGUAGAUUUGACAAGAGAUGUGAUUUCCCGAUCUGCUUUUGGAAGCAGCUUCGAAGAAGGCAAACGAAUUUUCCAAUUACCAGAGGACCAACUCGUUCUCACAAUCAAAUUAAUACAAACUGUUUACAUUCCAGGAUGGAGGUAACCCUCAACUUAAUUUACUUGAAAAAGGUUGCAAAUGUUGGAAUUCGCUAAAAGCGUGUUUGUUUUCUUGAAGGUUUUUGCCAACAAAGACAAACGGGGAGAUGAAGAUGAAAUACAAAGACAUAAAAGAGUCGCUUAGGGAAAUGAUAAAGAGAAGAGAGAAGGCAAUUAAAGCAAGGGAAGAGAGCAAUGAGGACUUGUUGGACAUACUUGUGGAAUCCAAUAUCAGAGAAAUGGAAGCAAAGAAUAUGGGGAUGAGCAUUGAGGAUGUGAUUGAGGAAUGCAAGCUGUUUUACUUUGCUGGCCAAGGGACCACUUCGGUCUUGCUGGUGUGGACUAUGGUUUUAUUAGCAAGGCAUCCCGAUUGGCAAAGUAAAGCAAGAGACGAGGUUUUGCAUGUUUUGGGUGACAGUAAACCUGAUGCUGAUGGCCUUAAUCGUCUCAAAGUUGUAAGUCCCUAGCAUGUCUUUUGAAGGUCCGAUCAAUGAGGUCGACAACUCAAAAACUUGGUUUCUUUGUUUCGCUAAUUCUACAGGUAACAAUGAUAUUGUACGAGGUUCUAAGGUUGUACCCACCAGUGGUUGAGCUAGGACGUUCCGUUCCAAAAGAAAUAAAACUGGGAAAUUUGUUGUUACCAGCAGGAACAGACGUUUUGGUUCCAAUCCUGCAGAUCCACCAUGACAAAGAUCUUUGGGGCGACGACGCACGGGAAUUUAAGCCAGAGCGGUUCACGGAAGGAGUUUCCAAAGCAACAAAGAGUCAAGUCACGUUUCUGCCAUUCGGAUGGGGUCCUAGGAUCUGCAUUGGCCAAAACUUUGCCAUGAUGGAAGCCAAAAUGGCGAUGGCUAUGAUUCUCCAACGCUUCUGGUUCGAGCUUUCCCCUUCCUAUGCUCACUCUCCUUACAGCAUGGCAACUCUUCGUCCACAGCAUGGUGCACAGAUAAUUUUACAUAAACUUGGCUCUAAUUGAAUUGUUAUGUAAAUAAAUCUUUGUGAAAAUAUAUAGCUUGUUAGUGUAUCGUCAAAGUCCGGUGUCUGUAAUGGUACAAUUCCGAUGCAUGAAUAGUAAAUUUUGAGAUGUUUAGUGAAGUCCGAAAUAAUAUGCAGAAAUUGAGUGUCUUGAAUGGAUGUAGUAUUUAAUGGUGGACAUAGCUGGGGGACUAAUGUGGUAAUUAUCGAACAAAUAAUUGCAUAUGGUACAAAGACUUGUAUGGAAAUUAGAGCAGGGGGAGUAGAAAAUGACUACUUUGCUUUGGGCAUCAAUUUAGAAAGAUUUAAAGUACAAAUGUAUUAUUAGUUUAAGGGAUUUGUUUUAAAGAAGGAAUGACAAUUAAACCUUAUGAUUGAUUUGUGGAAAGGAAUCGAUGAUGGGAUGAUUACUUUUAGUGGUAAAAAAAACUAUUAAGGAGGUUAUUAUAUUUGUUAUCACCGGCCCAAAAUUUAAAUGUAGUCACGUCAAAUUAUAUCGAGCUCGCAAUAUGAGUUCACGGACCAAGUUUGCAUGAUAAUAGGUGUUCACAUAAAGGUAUUUAUAGUUUACUGCAAAGUCACAUGUGAGAUCGUGCAUUGGAACCGAAUAGACAUGUUUUAUGUUUAGAAUAUGAUACGUGUCUAUGUGCAUAGAAUCUACCUAGUAUAUCAUAUCAAUGAAUAGUAUCAAUUGCGGAGCCAAAAUUUUUUUGAGGGGUAAGAAUUAAAUUGUAUAUUUUUACUAAAAUAAAAAUUCAAUUUUACUAUUUUAAUAGUUUAUUUCUUUUUAAUUUUUAAAUGAUUAAAUCAAAUUUUUAUAAAUUUUUAGAGAUCAAAAUAUAAUUUUAUCAUUACUAAUUUAAAAUUUUAUAAAUUAUAAAGUAUUUAAAUAAAAAAAUUUCCUAUUUUAGGGUGACCAAGGUCCUGCCAACUUCCUACUCGAUCACUGAACAGUAUAAAUAAAUACCAUCAUCUAAAAUACUCAAGAAAAACACUCAAGGAUAAAUAGAGAGAUGUUGGGUAAGUGUCCAAAAUAUGAUUUAAGUGAAGAUACGUGUGGUAGGUGUCAUGGAAAUGUAAAGACAAGAAUCCCACUAAUGUAUGGGAUGUGUACACUUGAAUGUAGGGAGCAAAGAGGAGCGAAUCAUUGUGGUAACAUUUGGACAAGAAAUAAUGAACAAAAUGAAAGGAGAGGAAGCUAGUAAAAGAUUUUUUUGGGUCAUAUAAUUUGUUUGGUAUAUAUUUUUUUAAUUUUUAAAUAUCAUUUUGGAGUUGAAUUAUAGUUUCUUUUUAUGUUUUAAAACAUAAUUAUUUUAUUUUUAGAGUGUCAAAGUAGAGGUGAGCAUGGAUCAGACUACUCGGCUCGGCCGGAAGAUCUGUCUGAAAUGUGAGAGGUUUGAGCAAAAAUAUAGGCAAAAAAAAUGGGCUUGGACAAAAAAUAUAAGGCUCGUUUAGAAAAUGGGUCGGGCCUUGAGUAAGACAUUUUUGGCCUCGAGCCUGGCCCGGCUUGAAUUCACUAAAGGACAAAAAAAAUUAAUUUUUUAAAUAUUAUUUUCUUGUUAUUUUCUUCCUAUUUUGCUACCAUUGUACUAUUAUGUUACUACUAUUUUGUUGUUAUUGUUUGGAUAUUGUAUAAACCUUAUUUUAUUGUUAAUUUUGUUAUUAUUUUAAAGACAUUUGUUAAUUUUGUUAUUAUUUUAGAGACAUUUGCUUGUUAAGUUGCAUCUAUCUUAGUGUUAUUUAAGUAUACAUAUUUUUUAAAAUUUAUUUUCAAUUUGUUGGAAAAUAUUUAUUUUAUAUUUUUAGUAUUUUAGAUGUAUUAUAUAUAUUUUAAAAUUAUAUAAAAAUUAAUAUGGACAGGAGGGUCGAGCCCGAGUUUUAGCAUUUUUAUUCGGGUUAGGCUUGGACAAAAUUUUAAGCCCAUUUUUUGGGCCGAGCCUAACAAACAGUCUUGAAUUUUUAGUUGAGCUUGGCCCGGCCCAUGCUCACCUCUAGUUCAAAGCUGCCCUCGCUUUGCAUUUCUUUGAGAUUCAGUUUUAUCUACUGUUGAUUGGCCACUCAAUUGAGGGUUGAAUAGAAAGAUUUGGUGAAGCAAGCUAAGCUAUCAAUCAAGGUUGGAGAAAGCUUAGGAGAUCACAAUGCAUAAUUAUUUAAAUGUAAUUCUAAUAUUUAAAUAAAAUUUAUUAAUUUAGUAUUAACAAGCCUUAAAUGUAAUGAUCAUAUACUAUUACAUUUUCAAGAAGAAAAAAUAUGUUUGAACCUUAAAAACAACAUUAUUAAAAAUAAUAAUCACAAAUCUUAAAAUAUAAAAAAUAUAAUUAAAAAUUAAUUUUAAACUCGAGCUGUAACAGCCCAAAUUUCAGUGGUGUCGGAAUAGUGAUGUGAGAUCACUAAAUACGACAUGUGAGUUUAGAUAUUAGUAAGUAAAAGUUAAGUGUGAUUUUAGAAAUAUUUUUGAAUUAGUGAAAUUGUGAAUUAAAGAAAAUUUCUAGAUAAAAACGAGGUAUCGAGACCUCUAAUUCAUAAACCAAGCCAUAAAUAUUUUUAGAAAUAUUUAUGGAGUGUUACUAAGUUAGUAUUAAAGUUUUGUUAAGAGAUUUUAACAUUUCAGUAAUUAAUUGAAGAAAAAUGACUAAAUUGAAUAAAGUGUAAAACUAUCAAAUAUGAUUAAAUAGCUUAAGAGAUCAUUAAGGAAUGAGUUAAAAGGUAAAUAGACCCAAAUUAGGUGGGUUGGACGGCAUGAGUGUGCAGGAAAUGUAAAAAAAUCAAGUGUGAACAAAGGGCAAAAGUGAAAAUAGGGUAAAAUUUAAUUGUAAAAUAUGAUGUAGUUGGUAAUUUUAGAGAAUUCAUCAUUUUUCUUCAUCUUCAUCAGCUAAAAACACCAUUAGAGAGCUUUUAAGAAGCUGGUUUUAUAUUUUACAGCAUGUAAGUUCAAUUCUUGAUUAUUUAGUUCAAUUCUUGAUUAUUUCUUGUAAUUUUUGUGUUUUUUGAGACUUUUACAAUUGGGUCCUACUAUUUAACUUAUUAGUUUUUGCUUUUAUGAAUGGUUUAGAAAGUUUCCAUAAAUAAGAGCUGAAAUUUUAUGAUGAUUUAUUAUGGAAUUGGGACUGUAAGUUUAUUAUAUGAUGAUUUUAUGAAGAGAUUUUAUAAGAAUUGAUUUUUAGGACCUAAUUGUGAAAGUCGUUGUAAUUAGGGUUUUGUGUUAAAACUUUGAAUUUCAAAGGCUUGGAAGUAGUUAUAAUGUUUAGAUAAAAUGAUAUUUUAGAAUAAUUAGUUCAAUUGAUGAACAAAUUGAGCAAUGACUAAAUUGUAAAAAUUGAAAAGUUUGAGAAAAAAUGUAAUUUCAAAAAUUAAAGGGUAUAAAUUGUGAAGUAGAAUAGAAUUGAAAUAGAUGCUCAUGAGGGAAUGAUUUUAUAAUUACAGAUCAAGAAAACGAAGUGAAUCGUGGAAAGGAGAAAUUGCAAGAAUAUUCCCUGAAAUUUCUACGACUUUUGCAAAUCAGCCCAGUUAAGUUCAUAUGGAAAAAAUUAAUGUUUUGUUAUGAAAAUCUUAUGAUUUGAUAAGGUAUAUUAUUAUAGAUGAAUACUAUCAAAUUGUAAUAAUUAUGAAAUAAUAUUUAAGUAAAAGUACAAAUUAGUUGGAACAAUGGAUUUGAGUGCUUUCGUUCUGUGACCAUGAUGAAUUGAUGGAAAAGGUGUGAUAUGUGCGCCCGUAUAAGACCAUAGCUGGGCUAUGGCAUCGGUGCAAUGUGAUAUGUGCUCCUGUAUAAGACUAUAGUUGGGCUAUGGCAUCGGUGUGAUGUGAUAAUGUGCUUCUGUAAAAGACCAUAUUUGGGAUAUGGCAUCGGUAUGAUAUGUGACCCGUGUAAGACCAUAACUGGGCUAUGGCUUCGGUGUGUGAUAUGUGACUAUGUGCAAGUCUAUGGUUUUACCAUGGCAAUGUGAUAAUGAAGCACUCAAUUCCAUUAUUGUUUCCUAAUUUGACUAUGAAAGUAAAUGAGAAAUAGGCCCAAGAGAUCUAAAAUUGGUGAAUAGUGACAUUGAAAUCAAUCAAAUGAGUUUAUUAAUGAUUUGUGAUUUACAGGAAGGUUUAGUGAAAUUAAAUAUUAUAUGAUUGUGUGCAAUAUUCGGUAAGAUUUAUUUUUCUGUGCUUAUGAGCGUACUAAGCUUCAAUAAGCUUACUUGUGUAUGUUAUUUGUUUUGUAGAUUGACUUAUAUACAUACGGAGGAUUGGAUCUACAUCGAGGAUCACGCUAUCCAGAUUUAUUCUGGUAGAUUUUGUUAAACAACUUUUUGAUUUAUAUGGCAUGUAUAGGGUUGAUUUGAUAAUGUAAUAGUAUGAAUGAUUAAGUAUGUAAAGUAAAUUGAAUGCGAUGGUUGUGUUUGAUAAUGAAAUAUACAUGUUUUGGCUUGAAAUAGUUGAUUUGUUGGACUUUAUUAGUGUAUAAAUGUGAUUUUGUGCAGGAAAAUAUUAAAAGGGUGAGAAAAGAGGCAUUAAAUGACCUAUUUUCGUCCACACGAGUAGGCGCAGGACAUGUGUGACACACAACCUACUAUAUGGGCAUGUGAUAAGAUCGUGUGUCCCUUGCAACUUAAAAAUGAGAAUCAGAAUGUCCAGGUUUAGGCACAUGGCCUAACAUAAGGGCGUGUGGCUUGACCGUGUGACACACCCACGGGCUUUAACAUGGCCGUGUGAUACGGCUGUGUGAAGUCUGCACUUAAAAUGUGAAAUUUAAUUAUCACACGGCCUAGCAACACAGACGUGUGCUCAGGCUGUGUGACUCAAGUUUCUUCUUGAAUGCAAGUCAGAGAGCUCCACGGGCUUGGGACAUAGGCGUGCGUGACCACACAGCCUACCCACACGGGCGUGUCCCUAUCCACACGGGCGUGUGGCCCUGUUUCAUGAUAAUUUUUUUUAAAAUUUUCUAAAAGCUCUGAAAGUUCUUAGUUUGGUCCCGAUCUAUCUCCAACAUAUAUUUUGGGCCUCGUAGGCCCGUAUAAGGGACUUUAAGCAUGUGUUUGAAUAAUAGUUAAUUUGGAAUGAAGUUUUAUGAUCUGGUUUUGGGUGUUUAAUUGUGUUUAAGCCUGGUAAUACCUCGUACCCUGUUCCGGCGUAGAAUACGAGUAAGGGGUGUUACACAAGCUGGAUAAAAUUCUAAUUUUUGAUAAUGAUAGUAAUAACAAAUCAAUAUUUAAAUUAAAAUUAAAAUUAAUUUAGUAUAAUAUAAUUUUUGAGUUUUCGGCAAAGGCACUCAAUGAAUGCUUGGAAAGAAAUAAUGCAACUUAGUGAAAUAAUGCAACUUAGUGAUAGCUUUUGUUGGAGUUAUAUGCUGUUAUUAUAGUUUUAUGUUUUUAUCUUGCAAAAACAACAUAUUGGAGUUUUCGGUGGACUUUUAAGUUUCAUGAUUUUUUCCUAAUACUUUACGUGAAAAAAAUAAUGGUACUUAAAAAUCUAACAAAAGCUUCUCUAUAAUUUUUAUAAAAAAAACAUUGCUACAAUAUUACAACACAAAGUUACAAUAAUAGCUUAUAACUCAACAAAGGCUAUCAAUAAAUAAUCUCAAGCAAGUUAAAGAGAAAUGUUGAGAAUACCACCCAAAUAGUGACCGACUUUAAAAGUUGAAAACCCAAAGCUAUAGUAUCUCAAACGAAAUCAAACCAUAAAUAUUAAAAUUUUUCGAGUCUAUUAGCUACUGUAAAAAAAUUUAGCUCCAACAGACACCAAAUGAGCCUUUGAUUGAAGAAAAUACGAAAACUAGUCUAGGUAAACCAAGCUGCCAAACUUACUUAUCUUAUCUUUAAUCUGCCGUGAAAUUCAAAACUAAGUUUUUGUUUAUUUCACUUAGAACGACUUUCAAAAAAUUAUUUUUGAAAAAUGGAUUGAUUUUUUUGAAAUAGAUGAUAUUUUAUUGUGUUGAAACUUUAUUCGUUGUCUGAAAACUUUUUUUAAAUUAUUUUCUUAGAGUUAUUUUUAGUGAAAUAAACAUAACAUAAAUAUAUUUGUUAUAAAAAAUUAUAUUAGUAUUUUCUUUUGACAAUUAAAAUUUAUUUUAUGAUAAGACAAUAUUUUACAAUAAUUAAUAUCAUAUAUAUACGUAAUAAUAAAUCAUGUUUAAUUAAAAUUUAAUUUAAAUUAAAUAUAUUAAUAAAGCUACAUAUAAUCAUAUUUUAUAUAAUUAAAAUAUUAAUAUAAAUAUUUUUCAAUAAUAUAUUAAAAAUAUUAAAAUUUAAUAUUAUUAUUACUAAAAUUAAUUAUUAAAAUAAAAAAUGUAAUAUUAAAUAAUUUAUUGUAUUAUUAAAUAUAAAUAAUUAAAUAUGUAUUUUAUAAUAUUUUAAUAUUCUUAAACAGCCAUGUUUUAUAGAUGCUGGUGAUCGUGAUGGUGCAGGCCCUUCUUGUUAUAAUUACUAUAAUUUCUAGUGCAAUAAUUGAAGUUGUUGGGUGGUCAAGCAAACCUCUUUUUGACUGAAAUGCAUGUAAUAUACUGGGCGAAUCUAGAGGGGUUCGCGUGGUACCGGUCUCUCUAAAGUUUAAAAUUGUUAUUUAAAUUUUUAAUUUUUUUAAAAAAUUUUAAAUUUAAUAAAAGUAAAAUUAUAUUUUUAGCUCUUAAAAUUAUAAAAAUUAUAUUUAAUCCUUUAAAAGUUAUAAAUAUAUAGACUAAAAAAUUAAAAUUUCAUUCGGCUUAUUAAAAGAUUAUUCUGGCUUUGCUCUUGAUACCGAUGUUGAAUAUUUUAGAGUAUGUUUCUUUAACAUGGUUCAAUUAUAUAUUUAUAUAAUAUAAUUAUUGUUCAUGAAUGUGACAUCGUAACUAAGUUCAUAUGCAUGUCAACAUAUAUAUUAUUUUAGGGUUAAUACGUUUUUUUUAAAUGUGAGUUCACCUAUAUAAUGGUAUGAACCCGUCACGCGGUCUCAUGAAAUAUGCGAAUAUAUGUCGUGCGAACACAAAGUACGAACUACACAGAAUAAGGACUAAGACCCAAUUGGGUAAUCGGAUACGGAUCAGUAAUAAUGAAUUUCAUAACAGCCACCAUCCCCUCAUUUGUUCUAAUUUAUUUUAUUUCCAGUGAGUUAUUGUUUAUGAUAAUUCACAACAAAUGUUUUUGUCAUUAUUUUUUGGUAAAUAAUAAUAAGAUUAAACUCUACUUUCUUAAGCUCCUUCAAUUCUUUGGACGUUGGUGGUUUUUUAUUCUAAUCUUAUUUUCUUAUUAAUUUCUUUUUUAUAAUAAAUGUGUUUAUAGAUUAAAUUGGAUUAUAAUUGAGUCAUUGUAUGGAAUUAACAUAAUUCAUAUCGAUUAAAAUUUAUUCGACUGGAAAUACAAAUUUAAAAUUUUACUUCAAUUUAUCUUAAUUUAUAAAUGAUGAAUUUAAAUUUAUUUUUUUCUCUCAUUAUAUUCAGUUUUCCGGAUAAGAUUUGGCCCAGAACAAAAACUAUAACAAUAAAACAAAUAUAUAUGUUUUCCAAAAAUUAAAUUGUUAACUUUUAAAAAAAUAUUUUUAGCUAUUUCUCAUCAUUGAGAAUAAAAAUAAGGUCACCUCGCCUCAUGCUUCAACAACUCAACCUAGAUUCUCAUCACCUGUAUUUAUCAUCGAUUCAGAUUUUUAUUUUUACUAUAUUCAAGAACUACCUAUAAAUCUAUCUUCAAACUUCCUCUGGUUAAGUUCAUUCAUAGAUAGGUGAGUAAACUUGAGCUUCAGCUUCAACAAACACCAUAGUUUGAAGACACAAUUCUCUCAUACUAAAAAUAUGGAAGUUUACCAUGUAAUUAGAGAUUUGGUCUCAUUGCUUGUUGUUGGGUUAUUAAUGAUAUGGGGAUGGAGAACUUUAAACUGGGUAUGGUUGGCCCCAAAGAGGCUCGAAAGGUGCUUGAGACAACAGGGUUUUGCAGGGAAUACUUACAGGUUCCUUUCCGGUGACAUAAAACAGCUCUCAACUAUGGGCAGACAAACAAAAGCCAAACCUAUGCCUCUUAGUGAUGAUAUUGGGCCUUAUUGUUGGAGUUUCAACACACUUUAACCGGGUAAAGUAAGAAUUUUAAACAGAGCACUAGCAGCAACGUAUUAUACCCGGAUAAAAUAUGAAGGAAAAAUGCUUGGAGUUCAAGCUUUUAGCUACUGUCAAGAAUGAAGAACAGAACUUAGAAGUUUUUAGAAGGCAAAAAAAGAUGGAGCAUAUGGAAGAAAAUCUGAUGAUUUCAUUCAUUGAAACAUUGGCUUAAAGCCAUUACAUAUACCAGUCAUUUGGCUGGUCAAAAGAUUAACAAAUCCUUUACCUAAACACUACCUAACUCCACUAAUUACAUAGGGACUAGGUGAUUUUACUUGCAAACAUAAACAAAGAUGGUGAUCAGCUCUAUCACCAUCAAAUUACAUCAAACAUAAACUAAACUAAGUUCAAAAUGAACUAGAUUACAAAAGCAUAGUUAAACGGUAACAAAAUGUAACUGAGACGGAAAAGAAGUAUCAACCCCUUCAGUUGCAUGUAUUUUACUCGGGUAACUUGUGUGUAUGAAUUCUUGCACAUACUUUACCCGGAUAACAUAAGUGCAUUAAUUUUCACGUGCUUGAAUCUGCAUGGGCUGCAUGGGAACUAACUUCAACACUUAUGUUGCUCCUUUUCUUCAUCAAAUUGUCAACCAGUAUGGUUUGUUUUUUAUUUAUUUAUUUAAUCUUCAAUUUAUGAUAAUUCUUUGUUAUUUAUGUAUGGAAUUUAUUGGGAGGAAAUGCAGGAAAGAAUUCAUUUACGUGGUUUGGUCCAAGACCAAGGGUGAACAUUACUGACCCUGAAAAAAUAAGAGAAAUACUUAAACAAAUUUAAUGACUUCCAGAAGGUACAUACCAAUCCACUGCUUAAUUUGCUUGUAAGCGGCCUUGUUAACCUCGAAGGAGACCGAUGGAGCAAGCGUAGAAAAAUCAUAAACCCUGCAUUUCAUCAAGAUAAGUUGAAGGUAUAGAAUAGUGAUGGGUACUCAAGACUUUACAGAAAACAUCAUACUUAAACCUAUGCUUUUCUGAUUUAGAAAUAAUUGGGUGCAGAAUAUGUUGCCAGCAUUUUAUCAAAGUUGUAGUGACAUGUUAAGCAAAUGGGAGAAGAUGGUGUGUACAGAAGGAUACAGUGAGUUAGAUGUGUGGCCUUAUCUCGUAGAUUUGACAAGGGAUGUGAUUUCCCGAUCUGCUUUUGGAAGCAGCUUCGAAGAAGGCAAGCGAAUUUUCCAAUUACUAGGCGACCAACUCGUUCUCAGAAUCAAAUUAAUACAGAUUGUUUACAUUCCAGGAUGGAGGUAACCCUCAACUUAAUUUACUUGAAAAAGGUUGCAAAUGUUGGAAUUCGCUAAAAUCGUGUUUGUUUUCUUGAAGGUUUUUGCCAACAAAGACAAACAGGUAGAUGAAGAUGAAACAGAGACACAUAAAAGAGUCGCUUAGGGAAAUGAUAAAGAGAAGAGAGAAGGCAAUUAAAGCAAGGGAAGAGAGCAAUGAGGACUUGUUGGACAUACUUGUGGAAUCCAAUAUCAGAGAAAUGGAAGCAAAGAAUAUGGGGAUGAGCAUUGAGGACGUGAUUGAGGAAUGCAAGCUGUUUUACUUUGCUGGCCAAGAGACCACUUCAGUCUUACUGGUGUGGACUAUGGUUUUAUUAGCAAGGUAUGCCGAUUGGCAAAGUAAAGCAAGAGAGGAGGUUUUGCAUGUUUUGGGUGACAGUAAACCUGAUGUUGAUGGCCUUAAUCGUCUCAAAGUUGUAAGUCCCUAGCAUGUCUUUUGAAGGUCCGAUCAAUGAGGUCGACAACUCAAAAACUUGGUUUCUUUUUUCGCUAAUUCUACAGGUAACAAUGAUAUUGUACGAGGUUCUAAGGCUGUACCCAUCAGCGACUGAGCUAGGACGUUCCGUUCCAGAAGAAAUAAAACUGGGAAAUUUGUUGUUGCCAGCAGGAACAGAAGUUUCGGUUCCUAUCCUGCUGAUCCACCAUGACAAAGAUCUUUGGGGCGACGACGCACGGGAAUUUAAGCCAGAGCGGUUCGCGGAAGGGGUUUCCAAAGCAACAAAGAGUCAAGUCACGUUUCUGCCAUUCGGAUGGGGUCCUAGGAUUUGCAUUGGCCAAAAUUUUGCUAUGAUGGAAGCCAAAAUGGCAGUGGCUAUGAUUCUCCAACACUUCUGGUUCGAGCUUUCCCCUUCCUAUGCUCACACUCCUUGCAGCAUGGUAACGCUUCGUCCACAGCAUGGUGCACAGAUAAUUUUACAUAAACUUGGCUGUAAUUGAAUAGUUAUGUAAACAAAUUUUUGUGAAAAUAUAGCGUUUUAGUGUAUCGUCAAAGUCCGGUGUCUGUAAUGGUACAAUUCCGAUGCAUGAAUAGUAAAUUUUGAGAUGUUUGGUGAAGUCCGAAAUAAUAUGCAGAAAUUGAGUGUCUUGAAUGGAUGUAGUAUUUAAUGGUGGACAUAGUUGAGGGACUAAUGUGGUAAUUAUCAAACAAAUAAUUGCAUAUGGUACAAAGACUUGUAUGGAAAUUAGAGCUGGGGGAGUAGAAAAUGACUACUUUGCUUUGGGCAUCAAUUUAGAAAGAUUUAAAGUACAAAUGUAUUAUUAGUUUAAGGGAUUUGUUUUAAAGAAGGAAUGACAAUUAAACCUUAUGGUUGAUUUGUGGGAGGGAACCGAUGAUGGGAUAAUUACUCUUAGUGGUAAAAAAAAAAAACUAUUAAGGAGGAUAUUAUACUUGUUAUCACCGGCCAAAAUUCAAAUGGGUUUGGGUUGAAUUAUAUUGAGCUCGCAAGAUGAGUUCAUGGACCAAGCUUGCAUGAUAAUGGGUGUUCACAGAAAGGUAUCUAUAGUUUCCUGUAAAGUCACAUGUGAGAUCGUAUAUUGGGACCGCAUAAACAUGUUUUAUGUUUAGAAUAUGAUAUGUAUCUAUGUGCAUGGAAUCUACCUAGUAUAUUAUAUCAAUGAAUAGUAUCAAUUGCGGAGCCAAAAUUUUUUUUGAGAGGUCAGAAUUAAAUUGCAUAUUUUUACGAAAAUAAAAAUUCAAUUUCACUAUUUUAAUAGUUUAUUUCUUUUUAAUUUUUAAAUGAUUAAAUUAAAUUUUUAUAAAUUUUUAGGAGGUUGAAGUACAAUUAUAUCAUUACUAAUUUAAAAUUUUAUAAAUUAUAAAGGACUUAAAUGAAAAUUUUCCUAUUUUAAAGUGACUAUAAAUAAAUAAAUACCACCAUCUAAAAGACUUAAGAAAAACACUCAACAAUUGUUGAUAAAUAGAGAGAUGUUGGGUAAAUGUCCAAAAUAUGAUUUAAGUGAAGAUACGUGGGGUAGGCGUCAUGGAAAUGUAAAGACAAGAAUCCCACUAAUGUAUGGGAUGUGUACACUUGAAUGUAGGGAGCAAAGAGGAGCGAAUCAUUGUGGUAACAUUUGGACAAGAAACAUAAUGAACAAAAUGAAAGGAGAGGAAGCUAGUAAAAGAUUUUUUUGGGUCAUAUAAUUUGUUUGGUAUAUAUUUUUUUAAUUUUUAAAUAUCAUUUUAGAGUUGAAUUAUAUUUUCUUUUUAUGUUUUAAAACAUAAUUAUUCUAUUUUUAGAGGGUCAAAGUAGAGGUGAGCAUUGGUCGGGCUAUCCGGCCCGGCCUAAAGAUCUACUAGAAAUGUGAGAGGUUUGAAUAAAAAUAUAGGCCCGAAAAAUGGGUUUGGACAAAAAAUAUAAGGUUCGUUUAGAAAACGGGCCGAGCCUUGAGUAAGGCAUUUUUGACCUCGGGCCUAGCCCUGCCUGAAUUCACUAAAAGACAAAAAAAAUUAAUUUUUUAAUAUUAUUUUCUUGUUAUUUUCUCCCUAUUUUGCUAUCAUUUUACUAUUAUUUUGCUACUAUUUUGUUGUUAUUAUUUGGAUAUUAUAUAAAACUUAUUUUAUUGUUAAUUUUGUUAUUAUUUUAGAGACAUUUACUUGUUAAGUUGCAUCUAUCUUAGUGUUAUUUAAGUAUACAUAUUUUUUAAAAUUUAUUUUCAAUUUGUUGAGAAAUAUUUAUUUUGAUAUUUUGAGUAUUUUGGAUGUAUUAUAUAUAUUUUAAAAUUAUAUAAAAAUUAAUAUGGGCAGGCUGGGUCGAGUCCGAGUUUUAGCAUCUUUAUUUGGGUUGGGUUUGGACAAAAUUUUAAGCCCAUUUUUCAGGCUGAGCCUAACAAAUGAUUCUAAAUUUUUAGUUGAGCUCUCAGCCCGGCCUAUGCUCAUAUCUAGUUCAGAGCUGCCCUCACUUUGUAUUUCUUUGAAAUUCAGUCUUAUCUACUGUUGAUUGCCUACUCAAUUGAGGGUUGAGUAGAAAAAUUUGGCGAAGCAAGCAAAGCUAUCAAUCAAGGUUGGAGAAAGCUUAGGAGGUCACAAUGCAUAAUUAUUUAAAUGUAAUUCUAAUAUUUAAAUCAAAUUUAUUAAUAUAGUAUUAACAAGCCUUAAAUGUAAUGAUCAUAUACUAUUACAUUUUCAGGAAGAGAAAAUAUGUUUAAACUUUAAAAAUAACGUAAUUAAAAAUGAUAAUCAUAAAUCUUAAAACAUAAAAAAUAUAAUUAAAAAUUAAUUUUAAACCCUGGAUAAAAUUCUAGUUUUAGAUAAUGAUACUAAUAACAAAUCAAUAUUUAAAUUAAAAUUAAUAUUAAUUUAAUAUAAUUUUUGAGUCUUCAGCAAAGGCACUCAAUGAAUGCUUGGAAAGAAAUAAUGCAACUUGGUGAUAACUUUGUUGGAGUUAUAUGGUCUUAUUAUAGUUUUAUGUUUUUAUGUUGCAGAAAAAACAUAUUGGAAUUUUUCGUGGACUUUCAAGUUUCAUGAUCUUUUCUUAAUACUUUAUGUGAAAAAAAAUAAUGGGAUUUAAAAAUCUAUCAAAAAGCUUCUGUUGUAGGCCAAUUUUGGCUCAAAUACAACCCAAUUAUUCAAACCCCUUAAAACCCAAUACAAAAUAGCCCAACUACUAACCCUAGCCCAGACCAAUAAUAAAAAAUAGCAAAGAAAAAAAGAACCCUGGCCACCCCGUGAUGUUUGCCACCCCACGCCUCUGCAGCACCAUUCCCAGGCAUCACACACUCUCACCAACUCCUCCAUACCCUGCAAAAUGAGACAAACACCAAGACAGAAGCUGACAACACAAGAGCAGUAGCAAGAGGCUUAAAAUAUCGUUUUGAAAUGGCUAUAAGAGGGAGAUCCGAUUGUAAAAAUUGGGGGGGAUUCAAUAUGCAAAAAUUGUAUCACGAAUUUUGGCAAAUCAAAAGCAAAAAAAAAGCACAUAAAAAAGGUUGAAUUUUAUUUCCUUUUUUUGUUUCUUUAUUUUUUAUUUUCCUUUUUUUCUUCAAAAAAUCAGUUUUAAAACAAAAAAAAUAAAAAAAAGAAGAAAGGGGAUUUACCUGAACUUCGGAGCCGCGACAUCGGAGCCCUACUCCGUCGUUGAAAUCGGCUCUCAAAAAGGAAAAUGGGGGUCUCUCCCUUCAGAUUUUCGGGCUAAGAAAAUAGGGCCUUCAGGCGCCCCCAAAAUCGGGGUCAAAAGCCCCCAUUCAAGCAACCCCGACCACCACUUACGGUGGCUCCAUGGCGGCGGCAAUGAUGGGUAUAAACCCUAGCAAAAGGGGAAAUGAGGGAGAGAGAGCCAAGAAACUCUCUGUUUUUUUUGCUUUUCAAAAUGGGGGCUGGAAACACAAAAUAAAAAAAAGGGUUUUAAGUUAUUUGAAAAAAAAGGGCUGCACUUUAACUCGUUUAACAGGCCUAAUAUGUGCCUUUUAAUUGAAAGUGAGGGAAUUAUACAUUAGGUCCUUCUCAUUUGCGCAAACAUUCAAUCAUGCCACAUUUAUUUCACUUCCUUUUUAAUUUGGCUUUAAAACUUACGCAUAUUAGCAAUUCGGUCCCAUUUCUUUUUAUUUUAUUAUUUUCACCCCGAAUUUCUGUCUAGAGUUCAAAUUAGCCCCUUUUCGUCCUUUUCUUUUCUUUUAUAUUUUAUUUUAUUAUUUGAUAUUAUGGUAUUAUAAUUGUAUUUUAUUUUCUUGCAUAUUAUUUGCUAUUAUUAUUAUCACCUUCAUUCCAUUAUUAUUAUUGCUAUUGCUAAGUUUUUUGUUGUUUAUAUUUUUAUUUAUAUUAUUAGUAUAUUGUUAUUCCUUAGUUUAUUAUUAUUAUAUCAUUUUUUAUGUAUUUAUCUACAUUAUUAUUAUUAUUAUUAUUUUUGAACACAUCAUGCAUUUUAAAUUAUUACCAAUUUUAAAUAUUUUAUAUAUAUCAUUAUGUAGUAUUUAUUUUUAGAUUCUUAUACGUAUCUUGGUAUUUUAGAUUAUUACAUGUAUACCUAUAUAUAUAUAUCUUUUAUUUUAAACAUUUUUCUAUGCAUUAUCUUACAUCAAAUUUCUUUUUUUUCACGUUAUUCUUUCUAAAUAUUUUAUAUGUCAUUUGAACUAAAUUCUAUUUUUAAAAUUUUUAUAUAUUACUUAGUUACAUUAUUUUAUAUGAAAAUUAUUUUGAACUCUUUUAUUAUUUAUUGUAAACCUUUAUUAUUGUUAAUUUUAAGACUAUAUAGGUAUUUAUUAAAAAAAAUUCAUAAAUAUUAUUUUGGAUUUAUAUAUAUUUUUAUUUUUGAACAAUAUUUAUUUUAAAAUUUUCUUUUACACAUUUUAAGCUCUUUGGUAAAUUAUUUUAAAGUGUUCUUGUUAUUUUUUUUUGUAUUAUUCAUCUUAUUUCAUUUAACAUAUUGUUUAUUUGAAGUUUGCUUUAUAUAGGUUACUUUAUUUUAUGCCCAAAAUAUUAUAUAUAUUAAUUAUUAUAAAUUGUUUUAUAUUCUUUACUUUAAAUUGCCUUUUCAUUUUAAAAUUGUUUUAUGUAUUAUUUAUUUAAAACUGUCUUAUUAUUUUGAAUUGUUUUAUGCCCCAUUUUUUAGAGCUCAAUUUAUUUAUUUUUAUUUAUCACCCAUUAUACGUUAUUUCCUUAUACUAUUACAUAUUUUAUACUUAUAUAUACAUAUAUAUGUGUAUGCAUCAUUUGAUCUAAAAUUUUUGUAAAUAAAUGUAUCAUCUUUCCUUAAAUCAUUUUAUAUAUUUUAAAUAUCCAUUUUUCACUUUAUUUACUUUUAAAACUUAGUUAUGAUCAUGUUAAAUAGUUUUUAUAUCUUAUUCGUUUUAAUUGGCUUUAUACUAUAUAUUUUUAUAUUAUCACAUAUGUUAUUUCAUUUAUUUGUUUAUUUAUUUUUUUUCUCCUUGAUUACUAAUAUUAACAUUUAAAUAAUGCAUGUUGAGUGAUUAUUGUUAUUGCGUGUACCUUAAUUCAUUCACUUGCGUAUUUAUAUUUGUCGUACAUUUGUGAUGUUAUUCUUGUAUUAUUAUUUCAUGGUCUAUACUCCCUUUCAUUUUGUUUCGUUUAAAUCAUAUCGUGCAUCUACCUCAAAUGUAUUUGUCCAAACAUGGACCGUUUUAAUCCAAACAAAUGAUACACGUCGCUUAAGUAUCACACUUGCUAUGGUUUUUAAAAACAAAAAUUUCAAAAUGAGGCAAUGUUUCGCGUUUUAGAACAUCGAGAAAUUGUGCCCUAACUUAUGGGGUUUCGGUUUUCUCGUUGGUUCUAAAUGUCAAAGUAUCCUUUUGAGUUUUAAAAUACACGAAAUUUUAAUUAAAAUUAAAGAUACACCUAUGCUCGAGAAUUCAUGGUAUGGUGUCCUAACUUACGGGAUGUGAUGCUCCGAUAUCUUGAGAUAAGGAAAUCUUUAAACAAAUUGUUUUGAGCUAAUUCAAAAAUUUUAAAAUUGAUAUUGAUAGAAAAGAUCAUAUUUCAAAUUCAUUCCCGAUUUUUGAUUUUCGACAUUAAGACACUAACUAAUCAAUUCGGUACUAAUUUUUGGGCGUGUCGGGGGCGCUAAUCCUUCCUCGCACAUAACCGACUCCCAAAUUUGUUCUCUUGGAAUUCGUAGACCAAAAUGCCGUUUUACUAAACUAAAAUUGUUAAAACAAAGGUGAUCCGAUCACACCAAAUAAAGAUCGGUGGCGACUUUCGUUUUAAUUUUUGUUUCCAAACAAAGUCGACCCCAUCCUUCAAAAAUCGGUUUCGACAGCUUCACUAUAAUAAUAAUAAUAAUAAUAAAUUGUUACAAUAUUACAACACAAAGUUACAAUAAGAGUUUAUAACUCAACAAAGGCUAUUAAUAAAUAAUCUCACACAAGCUAAAGAAAAAUGUUGAGAAUACCACUCAAAUAGUGACUGACUUUAAAAGUUGAAAACCCGAAGCUAUAGUAUCUCAAACGAAAUCAAACCAUAAACAUUAAAAUUUUUCGAGUCUACCAGCUACUGUAAAAAAUUCAGCUCCAACAGACACCAAAUGAGCCUUUGAUCGAAGAAAAUAUGAAAAUUAGUUUGGGUAUACCAAGCUGCCAAACUUACUUAUCUUAUCUUUAAUUUACAGUGAAAUUCAAAACUAAAGUUUUUGUUUAUUUCACUUAAAAUAACUUUCAAAAAAUUAUUUUUGAAAAAUGGAUUGGUUUUUCGAAAUAGAUGAUAUUUUAUUGUGUUAGAAUAUUAUUCGUUGUUUGAAAACUUUUUUUAAAUCAUUUUCUUAGAGUUAUUUUUAGUGAAACAAACAUAACAUAAAUAUAUUUGUUACAAAAAAUUAUAUUAGUAUUUUCUUUUGACAAUUAAAAUUUAUUUUAUGAUAAGACAAUAUUUUAUAAUAGUUAAUAUCAUAUAUAUAUACACGUAAUAAUAAAUUAUGUUUAAUUAAAAAUUAAUUUAAAUUAAAUAUAUUAAUAAAGCUACAUAUAAUCAUAUUUUAUAUAAUUAAAAUAUUAAUAUAAAUAUUUUUUAAUAAUAUAUUAAAAAUAUUAAAAAUUUAAAAUUAUUAUUACUAAAAUUAAUUAUUAAAAUAAAAAAUGUAAUAUUAAAUAAUUUAUUCAAUGAUAAGUACUUAUAUUAAUAAUUUAUCGUAUUAUUAAAUAUAAAUAAUUAAAUAUGUAUGUUUAAUCAUAUUACGUUAUAAUAUUUUAAUAUUCUUAAAACAGUUUUAAAGAUGCUGGUGAUGGUGAUGCUGCAGGCCCUUCUUGUUAAUUUUUAGUGCAAUAAUUGAAGUUGUAGGGUGUGGUCAAGCAAACCUCUUUUGACUGAAAUGCAUGUGAUAUACCGGUAAGUGGCGUAUCUAGAGGGGGACUGGCGUUGCCCUCGCCCCCUCCUCCCCACCCCCCCCCCCCCCCCAAAAAAAAUUGAAAUUGUUAUUUAAAUUUUUUCAAAAAUUUUAAAUUAAUAAAAGUAACAUUAUACUUUAUCCUCUAAAAUUAUAAAAAUUCUAUUUAAUCCUUUAAAAAUUAUAAAUAUAUAGACUAUAAAAAAUUAAAAUUUCAUUCGACCCCCCUAAAAUAUUGUUCUGGCUUCGCCCUUGAUACCGAUGUUGAAUAUUUUAGAGUAUAUGUCUUCUUUAACAAGGUUAAAUUAUAUAUUUGUAUAAUAUAGUUAUUGUUCAUGGACGUGACAUCGUAACUAGGUUCUUAUGCAUGUUAACAUAUAUCCUAUUUUAGGGUUAACAUGUAUUUUUUAAAUGUGAAUUCAUCUGUAUAAUGAUAUGAACCCAUCACGCGAUCUCAUAAAAUAUGCGAAUAUAUGUCAUGCGAACACAAAAUACAAACCACACACAAUACAUAUCAAGACCCAAUUGUGUAAUUGGAUACGGAUCAGUAAUAAUGAAUUUUCAUAACAGCCACCAUCCCCUCUUUUUUUUCUAAUUUAUUUUAUUUCCAGUGAGUUAUUAUUUAUGAUAAUUCACAACAAAUGUUUUUGUCAUUAUUUUGUUGGUAAAUAAUAAUAAGAUUAAACUUUACUUUCUUAAGCUCCUUCAAUUCUUUGGACGUUGGUGGUUUUUAUUCUAAUCUUAUUUUCUUAUUAAUUUCUUUUUUAUACAUGUAUGGUAUUAACAUUAUAUCAAUUAAAAUUUAUUCGACUGAAAAUAUAAAUUUAAAAUUGUACUUCAAUUUAUCUUAAUUUAUAAAUGAUGAAUUUAAAUUUAUUUUUUUCCUCUCAUUAUAUUUUUCCGGAUAAUAUUUGGCCCUAGAACAAAAACUAAAACAAUAAAACAAAUAUAUAUGUUUUCCAAAAAUUAAAUUGUCAACUUUAAAAAUAUAUAUUUUUAGCUAUUUAUCAUCAUAGAGAAAAAAAAAAAAAAGGUCACCUAGCCUCAUGCUUCAACACCUCAACCUAGAUUCUCAUCACCUGUAUUUAUCAUUGAUUCAGAUUUUUAUUUUUACUAUAUUCAAGAACUACCUAUAACUAUAUCUUCAAACUUCCUCUGGUUAAGUUCAUUCAUAGAUAGGUGAGUAAACUUGAGCUUCAGCUUCAACAAACACCAUAGUUUGAAGACACAAUUCUCUCAUACUAAAAAUAUGGAAGUUUACCAUGUAAUUAGAGAUUUGGUCUCAUUGCUUGUUGUUGGGUUAUUAAUGAUAUGGGGAUGGAGAGCUUUAAACUGGGUAUGGUUGGCCCCAAAGAGGCUCGAACGGUGCUUGAGACAACAGGGUUUUGCAGGGAAUCCUUACAGGUUCCUUUCUGGUGACAUAAAAGAGCUCUCAACUAUGAGCAGACAAACAAGAGCCAAACCUAUGCCUCUUAGUGAUGAUAUUGGGCCUUAUGUUGCUCCUUUUCUUCAUCAAACUGUCAACCAGUAUGGUAUGUUUUUUAUUAUUUAAUCUUCAAUUUAUGAUAAUUCUUUGUUAUUUAUGUAUGGAAUUUAUUGGGAGGAAAUGCAGGAAAGAAUUCAUUUACGUGGAUUGGUCCAAGACAAAGGGUGAACAUUA